AUGAACUGCAAAGAUGACAUAGAAAGGUCCUCUAGGUAUCUAGGUGUAUUUGCCACAGUACCUCUAAGGAUAUCAAAGUCAACAAAGGAGGCAAGAAAUCAUUGGAAAGAAACAAAUCUCCUGCAUCUAGAGAUAUACACUGAAGAUAUUGUUCAGCUUGCAGUGGUGAAAAGAAGUUGUUCCCUAUUGACACCUGGCUUUGAACAAGGAGGAGACUGGUCCAGAGCUGCUUUAAAACUCCAGAUAAACAAAGACAAACACUCAAAGAGGAUUCAAACACAAAGUUGUCUUCCUGAGUCUUGA
rnacentral:lncRNA from 1 species